CCAAUGACGUCCGACGAGGCAAGGCAAGGACAAUACAAGGAAUGAAAUACAGGCUUAUAUGGGGCCUACACAGCAUAGCAAAGAGAUCCACAAACCUUCUCACCUCCCAACCCCCCAGGAAGUUUUGCAUCUCAUUAACAUUUCUCAGGUAUGCGAAGGUCAACUCGUUGUAUUGGAGUAGUCCUUUUGCAAGUGCCCCUGUCUUUUGCAAGUGCAUGCACAGUCUUCGGGAGGAUAUUUCGUCGGCCUUGUCUGAAAUCUUCCCUCACGAACGGACCAAAUAGGCCUAAAUAUAGGCUACAUACAAGAUAUGUGGAAAAGCAGUUUAAAUGGGGUUUGUACAUUUGACGGCUUGCAGGAUGCUUUGUUUGAGCUCUGGGAUCAUUGCGCCGGUGAGGAACGACGUUGUCGUUUUUUCCGCAUGCAACCCCUCAAACUGUGAGUAUGUUUAAGGCUCAUUGGCGGCCAGGUGACACAGUAUCUGUCUCAGGAGUGUUCCAAGACAGACGUCAACGUCUCGUUUCUGGCUUACAAAAGGCAAACUGAUGUAUCCAUCACGGAAGCCAGCAUGGUGGUGGGUCCAGAUGGGAUUCCGCGCACCACAGCCAGAACUUCCUGGGGGUCCAAAAACACCUCGAUCCACUGGGACGAGUUCUCCCAGGACCAGGACUCCUCCUCUGAAGAGGAUGAGGGCUGGACCGAAAAUGAUGCUCUAUAGUAGCUUGUCCAGGUUAACUUGACUGAUGUAUGUCCACAGCGACCACUUGACAGGCAGAGGGUUCGUUGACCUGUCCUACAGGGUGGCAGCUCUCAGGCAGGCCUUCACUGUAACUGUCUACUAUCUAGAUAAAAUCCUAGAUAAAAUCCUAGGAAGUUAACUCCUGUGUGCUGUUAGUAUUUAUUGUAUUAGCUAGUUAUCCUGAUCCUCCAUGUUUGUCCCCAGACGCUGUGCACUGACAGUAAGGUCAUGUUGACGGCAGCUCGCCUGCUUCUAGGAAGGAUGGCAACUUAAGCACAAAAGGAUGAAGAGCAGCUGUUUCAGUAAUGCAACAGGCUGCUGGAGUAUGCGUCAGACCACGCCCAUCUAGACUCCAUCAUGCAGGAGCUGGCACUGGAGUCGGUUCCAGAGGGCUUCAAUGCCCAGCUA